rnacentral:rRNA from 1 species
GAUCAUGGCUCAGGAUGAACGCUAUCUACAGGCUUAACACAUGCAAGUCGAGGGGCAGCAUGAACUUAGCUUGCUAAGUUUGAUGGCGACCGGCGCACGGGUGAGUAACACGUAUCCAACCUGCCGAUGACUCGGGGGUAGCCUUUCGAAAGAAAGAUUAAUACCCGAUGGCAUAGUUCUUCCGCAUGGUAGAACUAUUAAAGAAUUUCGGUCAUCGAUGGGGAUGCGUUCCAUUAGG